rnacentral:rRNA from 1 species
UACGUAGGGGGCGAGCGUUGUCCGGAUUUAUUGGGCGUAAAGAGCUCGUAGGCGGUUCGGCAAGUCGACGGUGAAAUCUCCACGCUCAACGUGGAGGGGUCCGUCGAUACUGCUGUGACUCGAGUCCGGUAGGGGAGUGUGGAAUUCCCGGUGUAGCGGUGAAAUGCGCAGAUAUCGGGAGGAACACCAGCGGCGAAGGCGGCACUCUGGGCUGGUACUGACGCUGAGGAGCGAAAGCGUGGGUAGCAAACAGG